UGACCUCCUGACGAAUGAGACUAACUUGACUAACUGCUGUCAAGUGCCUUCCCUAGCAUCAGUAAGGAAGGUCUGCAACCUGGGGCCUGUUGCACAAAAGUAGAAUUAAGACAUCCGGGAUAAAUGACUCAGCUGAGCUCAAUGAAGCCAAAACAUGUGCGUCCAGGCUUAAUUGGUUGCACAAAGACCAAGCCAGGAUGAGCAGACACGGAUUCAUUAAGCCAGGUGAAACCAAUCCUGGAUAGGUGCGCGCUCACGGCUCACUCAAAUAGACCCCGCCACAGAUCACAGAUUAACUGAUUUACCAUGGCAACUAGAGCCGCGUACUUUUCCCCGUCGGAAGCACAAAUCCUCAUGGAGGCAUACGAGGAGGUAAAAGAUAUAAUUAAGAAGAAAGGCAACACCGCCACAGUGAUAAAGCAAAGAGAAAAAGCGUGGCAAAGUAUUGCAGACCGCCUGAAUGCAUUAAACAUGAACGGGCCAAAACGGACAUGGCAGCAGGUCAAAAUCAAAUACAAGAACAUUCUGCAGAAUGGUAUGGUCCCUGACUAAUAUUUAACAAAGCACAAGCAUAUAUUGUACCCAGAAGGUGCCUGCUCACACAUUGUCUGUACUGUUUUAGCAGUGAAAAGAAUACCCACAGACAAGGCACGGGUGGUGGGUCACCAAAGGCUGACCUUACCCCAGCAGAGGACAUGGCCUUGGAGCUAAAUAAAGGCAGGCCCGUCUUAGAGGGGAUCCCUGGGGGAAAGAGACGAGCAUAGGUUCCUCCCAAGAUGCCACCCGCUUCAUUCAAGUGCCUGGCAGCACUGUGUUCCUGUUAGAGCCACCAGCACAAGCACCAGACGAUGCUGAUCCAGGUGAAGGCCCCAGUGCAGCAGCAACAGCACAUGAUGGAGACGAUGAUGAGGAGGAGACCAUCUCUCUGGAUUCCAGAAGGCAUGAGGACCCAGAUGCUAUACAGUGGGAAAACCAGCCUGGCAACAGUGCGUAUUAAUAAAAGGACACCACAUCCUGCCAAAUUCCAGCUGCGCUAAUUGUAUUGUGUUCACAGAGCUCACAAGCUAUCAGAAAGUUGUAUGGCAACCACCUCCGGCACCAAAUAGAACUGGCAGACAUAGACAUUCAGUACAAGAAGAAAAAGAUGGAAAAUCUUGCACUGGAGUCCGAAAUAAAAAAGAGGACAAUUAGGAAACUGGACCUUGAAAUAAAAAAACUUGAGAGGGAGCUCCAAGAAGAUGACACAGCUCAAAAUAAAAAUUAGGUAUAUUCUCGUAAAGUCAAGUGAGCCAUGACAUAUGAGCUCUUAUUGUGAGCACACAGGACGGUGGCAUCUUUCUAAGUUUUUUUUUAUUUUCCCAGCAAUCAGUACAACCAAGUCAUCGUUAUAAGGCAUCGCCCUCUUUUGCCCACCCCCCCAGCACCAGGUGUGGCCACUAGCCUAUAUGAAGGCCCAAAAUUGUGUGUUCCUUUCUGCUCUGACAAUGGCAUGCCCAUUCGUGCGAGAUGUGGUGGAUGAAGAAGCACUUGUGCUGAGGAGAGCCUUCAGGCGAGAAAGGGUCUUCAGGGACCGGUUGGACCCACUGGCCUUCCCUGAUGACCAUCUAUAUGAAAGAUACAGGUUUUCUGCAGAUGGCAUCAGGUAUCUAUGCAGACUACUGGGUCCCAGGAUUAAGCACCGCACUGCACGGAGCCAUGCACUGAGUGUGGAGCAAAUGGUUUGUGUGGCCUUGCGCUUUUUUGCUAGUGGAGCCUUCCUGUACUCAGUGGGGGAUGCAGAACAGCUGAACAAGGCCACAAUUUGCCGCACAAUAAGGAGUGUGUGUCUGGCUAUCAAAGCAUUAGCAGAUGUCUUCAUCUCCUUCCCUGGCCACAGAAGACUCUGUGACAUCAAAGAGGAGUUCUAUAGGAUUGCAGAUGGUCUGCAAUGCUGACUGUGUGAUCAGCAAUGUUGUGGCAAAAUGGCCUGGCUCAGUCCAUGACUCCAGAAUCUUUCGGGCCUCUGAAAUCUA